rnacentral:rRNA from 1 species
CCCGCACAAGCGGUGGAGCAUGCGGUUUAAUUCGACGCAACGCGAAGAACCUUACCAGGGCUUGACAUCUACAGAAUCCUGAGGAAACUCAGGAGUGCCCUUCGGGGAACUGUAAGACAGGUGGUGCAUGGUUGUCGUCAGCUCGUGUCGUGAGAUGUUGGGUUAAGUCCCCGCAACGAGCGCAACCCCUAUGUUUAGUUGCUAGCGAGUAAGGUCGAGCACUCUAGACAGACUGCCGGUGAUAAACCGGAGGAAGGUGGGAUGACGUCAAAUCAUCAUGCCCCUUAUGUUCUGGGCUACACACGUGCUACAAUGGCCGGUACAAACGGAAGCGAAGCCGCGAGGUGAAGCAAAUCUGAUAAAACCGGUCUCAGUUCGGAUUGCAGGCUGCAACUCGCCUGCAUGAAGUCGGAAUCGCUAGUAAUCGCAGGUCAGCAUACUGCGGUGAAUACGUUCCCGGGCCUU